AUAACAAAGAUUUUAAAAAUACCCCUCCUAAGUAAAAAAACUUAUCCUCUACCCUCUCCUCUAUUUCGAUCUAGGUGAAAAAACUUUCGUUUCGUUUCGUUUCCGGUGAUGGUUGCUGAAGGAGAAUCUGAUUUCCUCUCCUUUCUUCGUCCUCUCUCUAUCUCUCACGCAAAACAGAUUAAUUCGAAGCUGGCUUGAUUUGUGAAAAACAGAGAUUCUGGUAUGAUCUAUGUGAUUUCCUCUAUAUAUCGUGAUGGAUAAGGGUAAUUUGAAUUGGGAUUUGAUGUGAUCGAAAUUAGGGUUCUCUUAAUUGGGAUUUAUGAUGUUAGCAAAAUUUGGGGUUUCUAUGUUACAAUUUUUUUAGAAUCAGAGACGAUUAAUUACAGAGGGGGCGGGGGGAGUUUGAUCGUUGUUGGCUCGAUCAUUGAAGACAGAGAAGCAAUCGAUGUGGAAGUUUUAAUUUCGAUCUAGAAGAAGAACGAAAAGAAGAUGAAGGAGAUGGAGAAGAUAGAGAAAACGAUCGGUUGAUGAGUCGAGAAAUUAAUGCAGCCAUAGAUCUCGCCGCCGGUUCAGUUGCGGUUAUGAAGCUUUUAUCCAUCGAUCAUUCAUGACUAUUGGCAAGGUGUUGUAUUAAUACAAAACUUGGCUGCAGAAGAGUAAUCUUUUAUAAGUUUUCUGGAUGUGUCAGCGACACUUUGAUUGAGCAGGCGAUGAAUGGAACUUCUGUGGCAGAGAUAUUUGAGCAUCAUGGAGAGAGUUUGUUUAGAGAAAAGGAGACCGAUGCACUAAAGAAACUCUCUUCGAUGUAUGAUGUUGUUGUUUCCACUGGUGGAGGUGCAGUUAUAAGACCCAUUAACUGGAAGUAUAUGCAUAAAGGAAUCAUGCAUUUGGCUAGUUGUGCCUCUAGAAGCCUUAGCCCAUAGAAUUGCUGCCGUUGGAACUAAUUCACGACCAAUUUUACAUGAUGAAUCAGGAGAUGCAUACCCAAUGACAUGCCAUCAGGGGAUGUUUUUUAGGAGAUUCAA